GACGAACGCUGGCGGCGUGCUUAACACAUGCAAGUCGAGCGGUAAGGCCCUUUCGGGGGUACACGAGCGGCGAACGGGUGAGUAACACGUGGGUGACCUGCCCUCAGCUCUGGGAUAAGCCUGGGAAACCGGGUCUAAUACCGGAUAUGACUCCAUGACGCAUGUUGUGGGGUGGAAAGCCUUGUGCGGCUGAGGAUGGGCCCGCGGCCUAUCAGCUUGUUGGUGGGGGUGAGGCCUACCAAGGCGACGACGGGUAGCCGGCCUGAGAGGGCGACCGGCCACACUGGGACUGAGACACGGCCCAGACUCCUACGGGAGGCAGCAGUGGGGAAUCUUGCGCAAUGGGCGAAAGCCUGACGCAGCGACGCCGCGUGAGGGAUGACGGCCU
rnacentral:rRNA from 1 species